GACGAACGCUGGCGGCGUGCUUAACACAUGCAAGUCGAGCGGUAAGGCCCUUUCGGGGUACGACGAGCGGCGAACGGGUAGAGUAACACGUGGGUGACCUCGCCCUCAGCUCUGGGAGUAAGCCUCGGGAAACCGGGUACUAAUAACUGGAUAUGACUCCAUGACGCAUGUUGUGGGGUGGAAAGCCUUGUGCGGCUGAGGAUGGGCCCGGCGGCCUAUCAGCUUGUUGGUGGGGUGAGGCCUACCAAGGCGACGACGGGUAGCCGGCCUGAGAGGGCGACCGGCCACACUGGGAC
rnacentral:rRNA from 1 species